rnacentral:tRNA from 1 species
CCGUCGAUAGCUCAGUUGGCAGAGCGGUGGACUGUAGGGGUUAUGGCACAGUUAUCCAUAGGUCGCUGGUUCGACUCCGGCUCGACGGA